GACAGAGCGAGACUCCGUCUCAAAAGAAAAAAAAAAGUCUCCAAAUCACAGGUAAACACAUAGAUACACACAAUUAGACAGAUGUACAACAUCAAAUCACAGGUAAACACAUAGAUACAAUUAGAUGUAUGACAUCAAUCACGUAAACACACAGAUACACACAAUUAGACAGAUGUAUGACAUCAAAUCACAGGUAAACACAUAGAUACACACAAUUAGAUGUAUGACAUCAAAUCACAGGUAAACACAUAGAUAACACACAGAUGUACAACAUCACAGGUAAACACAGAUACACACAAUUAGAUGUAUGACAUCAAAUCACAGGGAAACACAUAGAUACAAUUAGACAGAUGUACGACAUCAAAUCGCAGGUAAACACAUAGAUACACACAAUUAGACAGAUGUACGACAUCAAAUCGCAGGUAAACACAUAGAUACACACAAUUAGACAGAUGUAUGACAUCAAAUCGCAGGUAAACACAUAGAUACACACAAUUAGACAGAUGUACGACAUCAAAUCACAGGUAAACACACAGAUACACACAAUCAGACAGAUGUACGACAUCAAAUCACAGGGAAACACACAGAUACACACAA
rnacentral:lncRNA from 1 species